CACAAUUCUUACAGCCGAGAGGCUGUUAGGAAUUGUGGGAGUUGUAGUCCGAAACACCCGGAGGGCCCGAGUUGGCCCACGCCUGAUGUCAGAAGCGAGUUGAGAAUACAGUUAUUGUUGUUUAUUCGUUCACUCGCUUUCGACUCUUCCUGACCUCCCUGUCGGCCGUGUUCACCCCCAACUCCUUCAAGGUCAAAUCAGUCAAUUCAAGGAUACCAUCCAUCCAUCUUGCCCUUGGAGUCAGGCAUUAUCUCCUGGAGUAUGGAUUGGUUGGAUCUUCUAGCAGUCCAAGGCACUCUCAGAAUUUUCCUACAACACCACAGUUCAAAAGCGUCAAUCUUCCUUCGCUCAAGCCCAAAACACCUGGAGGGCCAAACUUUGCCCGCACCUGCUAUAUAGCGUCCAAAGCCCAGAACAAGUCCAUGACAGAAUCCUUCUUUUCAAGGAAGAAAGGAGGCGGGUGAAGAUCACAAAACUGGACAGAUCUGAAGAAGAGAAAACUACACUGUCCU
rnacentral:lncRNA from 11 species